rnacentral:rRNA from 1 species
GUAGGUGGCAAGCGUUGUCCGGAAUUAUUGGGGCGUAAAGCGCGCGCAGGCGGUUCUCUAAGUCUGAUGUGAAAGCCCACGGGCUCAACCGUGGAGGGGCAUUGGAAACUGGAGAACUUGAGUACAGAAGAGGAAAGCGGAAUUCCACGUGUAGCGGUGAAAUGCGUAGAGAUGUGGAGGAACACCAGCGGCGAAGGCGGCUUUCUGGUCUGUAACUGACGCUGAGGCGCGAAAGCGUGGGGAGCAAACAGGAUUAGAUACCCUGGUAGUCCACGCCGUAAACGAUGAGUGCUAAGUGUUAGGGGGUUUCCGCCCCUUAGUGCUGCAGCUAACGCAUUAAGCACUCCGCCUGGGGAGUACGGCCGCAAGGCCG